UACGAAGGUGUCAAACGUUGUCCGGAAUUACUGGGCGUAAAGUGUGCGCAGGUGGCUGAGCAAGUCGAGUGUGAAAUCCCCGGGCUUAACUUGGGAAUUGCGCUCGAAACUACUUGGCUCGAGUGUGGCAGAGGAAGGUGGAAUUCCAGGUGUAGCGGUGAAAUGCGUAGAGAUCUGGAGGAACACCGAUGGCGAAGGCAGCCUUCUGGGCCAACACUGACGCUCAUGCACGAAAGCGUGGGGAGCAAACAGG
rnacentral:rRNA from 1 species